rnacentral:rRNA from 1 species
ACACCAUGAGAGCCGGUAACACCCGAAGUCAAUAGUCUAACCGCAAGGAGGACAUUGCCGAAGGUGGGAUUGGUAAUUGGGGUGAAGUCGUAACAAGGUACC